AACAUUCCACUUGCUUGCGACUAUAAAAGCCCAAUACAUUUCGCGAACAUCACAAAGCUGCCUCGAGGUCCUAGGAACGCAAGCAAAACCAAGCCAGCCAUCUUCGUCAUCGCCAAUCAGUUUGACGCAGGUCACUCGUCAUGCGCCCUUACGUCAUUUUGGGUCUCCUCAUUCUGGGCCAUUUGUGCCAAAUCCAUGCGGCCACGCUGAGCAAGCCAGCAACGAGCACGGACGAUGCAAGGAAGCUGCUCACCGAGACACUUUCCCGUUCCAUCAUGGAACACCGUGAAGAGCUCAUCGAGGCUCUUCAGGGAGUCGACAGCACAGGCGACGAAACCGAUGAGCAGGGCUUUCCACUCGUCAUCGCGGCUAUACUGGCGUCCAUUUUAACGCCCGCUAUGGCAGUAGGUGCUGGAGCCAUAGGGUAGGAAAUUAAGGAAGGUUGGGCCUAUUUCCACUUGCACCUCUUUCAUUUCAAUAAAAUAUGGUACAUUUAGAGUCAAAAA